rnacentral:rRNA from 1 species
ACGGCUCAGUAACACGUAGUCAACAUGCCCAGGGGACGUGGAUAACCUCGGGAAACUGAGGAUAAACCGCGAUAAGUCACUACUUCUGGAAUGGGUAAUGACUCAAAUCUAUAUGGCCCCUGGAUUGGACUGCGGCCGAUCAGGCUGUUGGUGAGGUAAUGGCCCACCAAACCUGUAACCGGUACGGGCUCUGAGAGGAGGAGCCCGGAGAUGGGCACUGAGACAAGGGCCCAGGCCCUAUGGGGCGCAGCAGGCGCGAAACCUCUGCAAUAGGCGAAAGCUUGACAGGGUUACUCUGAGUGAUUUCCGUUAAGGAAAUCUUUUGGCACCUCUAAAAAUGGUGCAGAAUAAGGGGUGGGCAAGUCUGGUGUCAGCCGCCGCGGUAAUACCAGCACCCCGAGUGGUCGGGACGUUUAUUGGGCCUAAAGCAUCCGUAGCCGGUUCUACAAGUCUUCCGUUAAAUCCAACUGCUUAACAGAUGGGCUGCGGAAGAUACUAUAGAGCUAGGAGGCGGGAGAGGCAAGCGGUACUCGAUGGGUAGGGGUAAAAUCCGUUGAUCCAUUGAAGACCACCAGUGGCGAAGGCGGCUUGCCAGAACGCGCUCGACGGUGAGGGAUGAAAGCUGGGGGAGCAAACCGGAUUAGAUACCCGGGUAGUCCCAGCUGUAAACGAUGCAGACUCGGUGAUGAGUUGGCUAUAUGCCAUCUCAGUGCCGCAGGGAAGCCGUUAAGUUUGCCGCCUGGGGAGUACGGUCGCAAGACUGAAACUUAAAGGAAUUGGCGGGGGAAAUC